CCUCUCCACUCAAGCAAUGGGUGUUUUUCAUGAACUUUCACAAAUCCAUCAUGCUGUCACUGAGGUGUUUCCCAAAAAUGUAGG